GACGAACGCUGGCGGCGUGCUUAACACAUGCAAGUCGAACGGAAAGGCCCUGCUUGCGGGGUCCUCGAGUGGCGAACGGGUGAGUAACACGUGGGUGAUCUGCCCUGCACUUCGGGAUAAGCCUGGGAAACUGGGUCUAAUACCGGAUAGGAGCCAUUUUUAGUGUGAUGGUUGGAAAGUUUUUUCGGUGUAGGAUGAGCUCGCGGCCUAUCAGCUUGUUGGUGGGGUAAUGGCCUACCAAGGCGGCGACGGGUAGCCGGCCUGAGAGGGUGGACGGCCACAUUGGGACUGAGAUACGGCCCAGACUCCUACGGGAGGCAGCAGGGGGGAAUAUUGCACAAUGGGCGCAAGCCUGAUGCAGCGACGCCGCGGGGGGGAUGACGGCCUUCGGGUUGGAAACUCCUUUCGCUAGGGACGAAGCUUUUUGUGACGGUACCUAGAUAAGAAGCACCGGCUAACUACGUG
rnacentral:rRNA from 1 species